CCCCCCAAUCAGCGCCUCACGACCCAUCCUAUCCCUAUUCCUACGUGCUCUCCAACCCCAGGCCCGACCUCCGCGGUGACUUCGACAUCGACCAGCCGCCCAUCGCGCAAAUGCCCUAUGCCUCCCCCGCCUGCUCAACGCUCCAAGAGCUCGGCCGCCGCCGCCACGAACGCCGACAAGUAUAGUGCGCCGUGCACCGUGGCCGUGCCCUUGAUCUCCUCGAUCUGGUCACGCGUUAGCGUGAAGGACGCGAUCAACGGAGACGGGGAUGGAGGCCCCUGCGCUGUCACUACACCGACGCCUCGAAGAUUGGUGUGCAGUUGGCUGGGUGGGCGCGGGAGAUCCCAUCGGCGGCAAGCGACGCGCGCGCCGGCAGUGCGGCGGCCUGGUCCGAGUAGAGGCGUAGGCGGGCGAGCGCCUUCUUGUGAAGGAGUGGAUCGCUGGAGAACGCCUGCUCUGUUCUUCAAUCACGUUCUGGUGAAGGAAUCGAUCGCCAAGAACGAAGUGCUCUGUUCUUUAAUCUUGUACCUAAUUCUGAAGUUUGCUUUCUUCAAUCUUGUACGUAAUUCUAAAGUUUGAUUUUCUCCUGCUAUCUUCCCCAUUAACCGCUCAUUGGAAUUGAUGGAAUUAGGAACAUCAUAUUGCUUUCAAGUUGAUCAACCUCUGCCCUUUACUCAUGGAAGAAGCAACUGAAUGAGGACAACCUGCUCUCUUUCUCAAUCUGAGGUUUAUUGUCCGGUUUGGUACCUCAUGUUGGCAUGGAAUUUAAAAUUUCAAACGAAGCUUGGGCAUUUUGAUUUAGCUAUAUGCAUGCCCCUGGUUUAAAGGGCUUUGGAGUCCGGAAAAGAUACACAGACAAGAGGUCCGCCGAUGGCAAGGUUACGUCAUGCCGAUUUAUUUGUGCAAGCAAAUGGAAUGUUUAAUCUCUUUUGCCAAACAAAAUUCAGUUAUCAAGUCUAAAAAUGUCUAAGUAGCAAGUGGAAUGCUACAGCGACAUGGCCUAAUUCAGUUAACAAGUUUGAAAGCUACAUUCAGUUAUCAGCUGAUCGGCCUGCAGUGGUGCGACAACUACGGCGUGGCUCAGCCGACCACCACCAUGGAGAUGGUUUUCAUUGCGAGUGAAUGCUUCUGCCGUCGUCGGAUGGCUUACGAACGGGGGAUACACACAUCACGUCCCUCUGCAGUAGGCUGAGCUACCUUGGAGGAUCUCGAUCCGUAUAUAGGUGAGAGAGCUUUGAGAUUGCUAUACAGCUGUAUAGAUUAGUCCAUUCAGCAAAAAAAUUGGAUCCCUUAUGAAGGUGCGUGUCAUCAACUUAUGGAUUCCUUUUUACUGCAUCUCUUGCCCAUUUUUCUUGGGCAUAUAAAUCUUAAGGGCAGUCUAUUUGUGCAGCAAUGAACUCCCAUAAAUUAAUAAUUUGAUCCUUUAUCGUAGUACUAUCAACUUAUAUUUUUCAUGAAAUUGUAAGAUUUAUUAUCCAUCCAUGUGGUAAUAAACCACUGAUUAUAGCGUGUUUAAGCUUGAGAUGAUAAUGAUGUUCAAAUUAGGAGUACAUAAUGGUUUGGAGAUUUUCAUUAGAAAAAAUAUCACUUUCAUACACAUUAAGGAGCACUAUGGUCAUGUUAGCUACUAUUUGAUUUUGUUGUUUCUCACUAAGAGCAAUUCGACUUAUAAUCCUAAUGCUAUGUUGUUAAUUUCCAAAUGAUUAAAAGUCGGGUACGUGCUUUAUUGUGAAAAUUCACAAGAGAAGCAUGCUAUUUGAAAUAAUUGGUUGCAGAUACCUUUGUUGCUUUGGACCUUGCCAUGGAACGAGUGACACUAAAUGACCACAAAUGGACUACAUUGGCCAGGACCUUCAAGUUAUGAGUAAGCGUGGUUCCACCUUUAGUGGUUUGUGCAUCCGAUUUGUCUGUUAGGGAGACUUCUGUGACUGGUUUCACGUGUACCUCAGAGUGCUUGGUACAGCUGCAGGGGCGAGGAUGUCAUAUUGACGCAUCUUGAUGGUUUGUUUCUGUAUGAACUAGCAAUAUUUUGUUUCUUAGAUGCACAAACUUGUAUCUCAGAAUUAUGAUAAAAUUAUGUCAUUUGAUUAGCUCAUGUGUAAACUACUAAUUUCCAUUGCCUCUAUACACACACCUGCAUAUCUUUUUUUUCUGGCCCAUUCGUAGGUACCAAGUAGAAGAUAAUAAGAUUGAAGAUAUAUUUCUCUUGAUUGGUAAUAUUAUACCUCAAA